GCUGACUGAGCAUGCCAACGUAUUAAUGAAACGAUGCCAAGAUGAACGCGCCAAGAUCAGCGGCUAUGGUUUUUUCUGAUUUUAUUUGAAUAUUAUUUGCUUUUCCCUCCACUUCCUUUUAAUAUUUCAAUUAUUUUGCUUGUUUUAGAAAAUUCAUAAAAAAUGCAAAAAUAGUCCAAUUUAAUCCCAAUUUUUUUUC
rnacentral:lncRNA from 1 species